UCCGGGAUGGUCUAACGGUUAUGAUUUCCGCUUGUCAGCUUCUUCGGUCGCAAGCGCGGGAGACCGGGGUUCGACUCCCCGUCGCGGAG